AUUGAACGCUGGCGGAAUGCUUUACACAUGCAAGUCGAGCGGCAGCGCGGGGGCAACCCUGGCGGCGAGCGGCGAACGGGUGAGUAACACAUCGGAACGUACCCAGUGGUGGGGGAUAGCCCGGCGAAAGCCGGAUUAAUACCGCAUACGACCUGAGGGGGAAAGUGGGGGACCGCAAGGCCUCACGCCGUUGGAGCGGCCGAUGUUCGAUUAGCUAGUUGGUAGGGUAAAGGCCUACCAAGGCGACGAUCGAUAGCUGGUCUGAGAGGAUGAUCAGCCACACUGGGACUGAGACACGGCCCAGACUCCUACGGGAGGCAGCAGUGGGGAAUAUUGGACAAUGGGCGCAAGCCUGAUCCAGCAAUGCCGCGUGUGUGAAGAAGGCCUGCGGGUUGUAAAGCACUUUCAGUGGGGAAGAACAGAUUCGGGUCAAUACCCGGAGCCCUGACGUUACCCACAGAAGAAGCACCGGCUAACUCCGUGCCAGCAGCCGCGGUAAAGUAG
rnacentral:rRNA from 1 species